rnacentral:rRNA from 1 species
CGAACGAAGCGCUUGAAUGGAAUUCUUCGGAAGGAAGCUCAAGCGACUGAGUGGCGGACGGGUGAGUAACGCGUGGGUAACCUGCCUCAUACAGGGGGAUAACAGUUAGAAAUGACUGCUAAUACCGCAUAAGCACACGUGAUCGCAUGAUCGAGCGUGAAAAACUCCGGUGGUAUGAGAUGGACCCGCGUCUGAUUAGCUAGUUGGUGGGGUAAUGGCCCACCAAGGCGACGAUCAGUAGCCGGCCUGAGAGGGUGAACGGCCACAUUGGGACUGAGACACGGCCCAAACUCCUACGGGAGGCAGCAGUGGGGAAUAUUGCACAAUGGGGGAAACCCUGAUGCAGCGACGCCGCGUGAAGGAUGAAGUAUUUCGGUAUGUAAACUUCUAUCAGCAGGGAAGAAAAUGACGGUACCUGACUAAGAAGCCCCGGCUAACUACGUGCCAGCAGCCGCGGUAAUACGUAGGGGGCAAGUGUUAUCCGGAUUUACUGGGUGUAAAGGGAGCGUAGACGGCAGUGCAAGUCUGAAGUGAAAGCCCGGGGCUCAACCCCGGGACUGCUUUGGAAACUGUGCAGCUAGAGUGUCGGAGAGGCAAGCGGAAUUCCUAGUGUAGCGGUGAAAUGCGUAGAUACUAGGAGGACACCAGUGGCGAAGGCGGCUUGCUGGACGAUGACUG